rnacentral:rRNA from 1 species
GUCCACGCCCUAAACUAUGUCAACUAGUUGUCGGGGAAGAAAUUCCUUGGUAACGAAGCUAACGCGUGAAGUUGACCGCCUGGGGGAGUACGGCCGCAAGGUUAAAACUCAAAGGAAUUGACGGGGACCCGCACAAGCGGUGGAUUAUGUGGAUUAAUUCGAUGCAACGCGAAAACCUUACCUACCCUUGACAUGCUAGGAAGCCCGCAGAGAUGUGGGUGUGCCCGAAAGGGAACCUAGACACAGGUGCUGCAUGGCUGUAGU